CAGGAAAUAAGGCUCCAUUUUGAACUCGCUAUUUAUAGAGAAGCCCUGGUCGUGCCAAGUUCUUUGCUAAGCUCUGGGGUUACAAACACGAAGGGAGACUGUGUCCCCAGACAGACAAAUUAUAAACAAAUUAGCUACAUCAAAACAGGGACGCCAAAAGAGCGAUAUAGGGAGGAAAGGCUUAAGGGACCGGCUUAACCCUAUAGGUGUGUUGAGGGGUCAUAUGGAAAAGUGGUUCUCAACCUUCUUAAUGCUACCACCCUUUAAUACAGCCCCUCAUCCUGUGGUGACCCUCAACAAUAAAUUUAUCUCAUCCUUACUUUAUAACUGCGAUUUUGUUGCUGUUACCAAUCGCAGUGUAAAUAUUUUCUGGUGAUCUUAGGCAAUCCCUGUGAAAGGGUCAUUUGAUCCCCAAAGGGUCUCACCCCACAGGUUAAGAACCAGACUACUGAACAUGACCUUUGAGCUAUGAGGACUGGGGAAACCCAGUGUACAGGAUAAAAGAGAUGAUGCAUCCUCCAUGGAAACGAAGGCAUCUGACCUUGUGGUGAGAGACUGUUAUUGGACAAAAUGGGCACUUUUCACUUUACCUCUAGAAGUUCAAAGUCCCAAAAGGAAGAUCCAAGGUGACAUGAUUGCUGAGGUCAGGAAGAAAGAAAGGCUGUUGUCUCUUCCAUUGACCUGCUGAGGACCGCUAGUGACUUAAACAGGACAAGAAGAUUCUCCCGAGACCCUCAGAAGAAUGCUCCUUCUCUGGGUACUUAAAAGGGCAGUGGCCCGGACGCCGUAUAAUGUUGGUUUAGAAACUUGACUUUGGGGCUGGGGAUUUAGCUCAGUGGUAGAGCGCUUGCCUAGGAAGCGUAAGGCCCUGGGUUCGGUCCCCAGCUCCGAAAAAAAAGAACCAAAAAAAAAAAAAAAAAAAAAAAGAAACUUGACUUUGAUCCUGUCAUUUGCUGAUGAGGAAGCAGAGGCCCAUAGAAGUCUUGUUUACUGUCGAUCCCUCGCCCAGAGCAAGAACUUUAACUCAGAGCUUCUGGCCACUCGUCUGCUCAGACCGCAUGAAGGGCUUUGAGUGAGGAAGGGAGCAAAUGGUGGUUCACAUCCAGACACAGGAAGUCCUUCCCUUGGCAUUUCCUCCACCGCACAGUAGGUCUGCAGAUGUAAACCUGAUUACGUCACCCCUUCCAGCUCUCCUUACACCUGCCCUAGCUCCCCAUCGUUCUUAUGAGCAAAACGAAUGUGCCUGACUGAGCACUAGGCCCUCUGUCCACCUCUCCUGCUCCACCAUCUUUCUUUCAGGUCCCAGACUCUUGACACCCCUCCCACCACUGAGCCUCAACCUCGAGUCGUGUCUCCUGCUGAGAAUGCCCGUCAAAGGCUGGUGUGCUCCAGUGCUCUUUCCACAGCCCAGGAAAAGAAGCUUGGUGCUGAAAUUCUGGAACGUUUGUUUCUCCCGGAAAGUCCUCUUCUCUCUGAGGAAUCCCUCCCGCCCCAUCCUUACUUCACGGGCUACUUAAAAUGAGACCAACCAAGCUGCGUCCCCACCUCUUGUGAUCACCUUUGAAAACCCAGAGCCUACAUCCUGCCACACAUGCACACGAACGAGACUUCCGUCACCUACAAUACCCGCAUGGGUCCAGUUUGGGAAGAUGCAUGGAGAUCAGUCAAACGUUUGUUUGCAUCUCAGACAUUCGCCUCGCACAGGCAGAAUGUCAAUAGUGUCUGUGCUGCUAAUUGGCCUAUGAAAUGGCUCUGUUGCCAUGACUAAGCAAACAACAUCCAGGGACAGUUAUGAUUAAAUCGCUCGGAAGAGAGGAAGGAGAGGUGGAGAGGCCGCUGAAUCAUUAGCUAAGGCCGAAGACGUUUGGAAUCCUGAGUCUGGAACCUGGACUUAAAGGGAUUUCCGAAGGAAGCAAUUUCCUAAUUCAGGCAGGCCCUGCGAGCAGAGGAGACACAGCGGCAUGGAGAGGCUUAAUGAGAACAUCCUUUUCUGAUUAGAAAUGCUACAACAGAGGUCGGCGAGCAAAAAGGGACUUUAAUAUUAAAACGCUGCAGGGUUUCCAAGCUUAAAAACCUUAAAA